UAGUCCACGCCCUAAACGAUGCUUACUCGACGUUUGUAUUUAUAUGAGCGUCUAAGGGAAACCAAUAAGUAAGCCACCUGGGGAGUACGUCGGCAACGAUGAAACUCAAAGGAAUUGACGGGGGCCCGCACAAGCGGUGGAGCAUGUGGUUUAAUUCGAUGAUACGCGAGGAACCUUACCAGGGCUUAAAUGUAAGUUGCAUGAUCUAGAGAUAGGUCUUUCUUCGGACCACUUACAAGGUGCUGCAUGGUUGUCGUCAGCUCGUGCCGUGAGGUGUCAGGUUAAGUCCUAUAACGAGCGCAACCCCUGUUGUUAGUUGCCAGCAUGUAAAGAUGGGAACUCUAACAAGACUGCCGGUGCAAACCGCGAGGAAGGUGGGGAUGACGUCAAAUCAUCACGGCCCUUACGUCCUGGGCUACACACGUGCUACAAUGGUAGGGACAGAGAGCAGCCACACUGCGAGGUGGAGCGAAUCUAUAAACCCUAUCUCAGUUCGGAUCGGAGU
rnacentral:rRNA from 1 species